rnacentral:rRNA from 1 species
AGAGUUUGAUCAUGGCUCAGGAUGAACGCUGGCGGCGCGCAUAACACAUGCAAGUCGAACGAACUUGCUCAUUCUUUUAGUUUGAGAGCGGUUAGUGGCGGACUGGUGAGGAACACGUAAUCAACCUGCCUAUUAGAGGGGAAUAACAGUGAGAAAUCAUUGCUAAUACCGCAUAUGCUAACAUUAUCGCAUGAUACAGUUAGGAAAGGAGUAAUCCGCUUAUAGAUGGGUUUGUGCCUGAUUAGCUAAUUGGCGGGGCAAUGGCCUACCAGGGCGACGAUGAGUAGCCCGACUGACAGGUUGAACGGUCACAUUGGGACUGAGAUACUGCCCAAACUCCUACAGGAGGCAGCAAUGCGGAAUAUUGCACAAUGGAGGAAACUCUGACGCAGUGACGCCGCGUAUAGGAAGAAGGUUUUCGGAUUGUAAACUAUUGUCGUUAGGGAAGAUACAAGACAGUACCUAAUGAGGAAGCCCCAGCUAACUAUGUGCCAGCACCCGCGGUCAUACAUAGGGGGCAAGCGUUAUCCGGAAUUAUUGGGUGUAAAUGGUGCGUAUACAGAGGAGCAAGGUGGUUGUGAAAUCCCUCGGCUUAACUGAGGAACUGCAACCAACACUACUUCCCAUGAUUGUCGGAGAGGAAAGUGGAGUUCCUAGUGUAUCGGUGAGAUGCGUAGAUAUUAGGAGGAACACCUGUGACCAACGCUACUUCUGGACGAUAACUGACGUUGACGCACGAAGUGUGGGAGCAACGGGAUUAGAUACCCUGGUAGUCCCGCGUAUACGAUCGAUACUAGGUG